UGUCGGUGAAGAAAGCACCAGCUCAGCAGUCACAACAUAUUUUAAAAAGGAAGAUAUUGGGAAUAGACAAAGCAAAAAGACAUUGUUGUUGUGGCAUUGCUUUUUGCAGUUUUUGCAGAAGUCCGGCAUGCAACAGACUGCUGCUGUGCACAGUAAACUCUGACGAAAAAAUCGCCGCAACUAAAACUGGAAAUACUGCAAAGUUGUUUUAUUCCUUGAAGCAUUCCCAUCCAGCAGAACAGUGGUCGAUAAGAUUUUGCUGAUUGGUGCGGUCCUGUUCGAUGCAUUUUACCUACAUUUCUGAGGAAAUUUUCAGCAGGCUUCAAGUAAAGACCAUGCAAACCGUGGAAGUAGGAGACAAUCCAUGUCUGAGCACCAACAAUGCAAACUGCUGCUGAACAUGCAUGGACCAGUUCCAGGCAUGCAACGCCAGAAUUCUGGAAUUCCACCAUGAAUGCCAAACUUUAAGAGACAAGGAUGUCCAUCUAUUGCUUUGUAAUACAUAGAUAACCUGAGCAUUACCUGUUUAAGUAAAAGCAGACUAGUGGAUCAAGUGUGAUAAAGAAUUUAAAUAAAAUUUCAUCCUUGUCAUAUAUAAACUCCUUUGCAGAUACAGUUGAGAUGAUUGACAUACCGUACCUGCUUUCUGCAGUAAUGGAGGUCAUGAAUAAAAUAAAAUGUGUGACACAUA